AUAGCACGUCCGUACCAACGUGCGCUCUGAAUGUUGUGCAAAAGAAAGUUGCCUGCACUUCAAUGAUCACCUGAACCAAUCUGGCAACCCAGAUAAUGACGUUGAGCCACUCUUAGCAACGAUUGGCCAACAUCACUGCAUCGCAGCCUGGCACGGUGUGCAUUUACGAGCGCAUUUUGUUUCAAUAAAGUUGGGGAAAAGAAAAAAAACGAGCGAAAUUUGUCACUCUGAUCAAAGCGACAACAAUAGAACAUCAUGCCACAGAGAUUUUAUCCAUCAGGAGCUGAAAAAAUAUGAAGAACUUCAACCACAAGGUAAGUUUGGAGGAUGUUGGGGCUUUAUUUUUAUAUUAUCCAGCAUUUCUGUGCAGCUGCGCAAUUUACGUAAAAUACUAAUCGAUCCGAGGUGAAGAUUGCACAAACGACCCCUGUCGUAAAUUUCCCAUGGAAAACUGGAAAAUAAUUCUGAUACCAAAGUUUCCAAGAUGAGGUCGGACAUGACCUUCCAAAACGGUGAAGAGUAGAGAAGAGUAGAUAAUGACAACUGCGAUGGCUGAUAAAUGUUUUAACUCACGUUAUAAUAUUGUUUAAUUGUUUUGCUAACACACAUUUAGUGCGUUCUGCAUUUUCUGGUUUAUGUCAGCAUAAAAACUGCUGUUUAUUAUAGCAGGUCAGGUAUUCUGAGUUUUUCAACAAUGUGCCUUAAAUCUUGCAUUGGCAUGAAAUAAAAUAUGGAGAAUCAAAACUGCCAGAUACAAAUAGUAAAUAAAGGUUCUGAUUUAUAAAUGAUAAACAAAAGAAAUGUACUUAUUUUAAAAUUAUGAACAUACAAAAUAAUAGACAAAGAAGUGUAUAAGUGCUUAUAUUUCCACUUAUACUCAAAUUAUUGUUCACAUUAUUUAUAAAUGGGUACAUUUAUUUCUUAUUUGUAUUUUGCAGUUUUGGUUUUACAUAAUGAUGUUUUGCACAGUUCCGUCUCAGCUGAUAGUUUCUUCUGCUCUCAAAAAGUAUCAAGAAUUAUGGAGGUGGUGCAGCAUCCACAUCUCAAGAUGUUCCUGACUUCACUGAAGAUGGAAUCUCAGCUGCAGAAGAAACUCCUGUCACCACAUCUUUGAUUAAAAGAGAAAACGUUGAUGCUGCUGCUGAGGCUCCAAGAGAGGCAUGUAUGAAAGAGGAGCCUACAGGAUCCAAAAUUCCACCUACCGGUACCACAAAUCCAGUUGGUCCAGAUGAAUGACCAACCACACUCUCUGAUCCAGAAAGAAUGGAUUUGAUGCAAAGAGGUCCUUUUCAGACUGAGAAAGACUCUGACUUUCCAAAAUCCCCUCAUUGAG